AGAGGAAGUUUUUUUUUUUUUUUUAAUAACCUGUGGAUAUUCUUUUGUGUCUUUUCUAUUCCAGGGAGCAAGAACUGUUCUAUCACCAGAUCAGUGUUUUUAUAUGGAAACAGGCCCCGAUGUUGAGUCUUGUCAGUCUCCAGCAGUCUUCUUGGGAUUCUGAACCUGCUUUUCCUCUAGACACUGAAACAGGACAUUUUUGAGGUACAGUAUGAACUUAGAGGAUGUUUUUAGCUUGGUUAAUGUUGACCUGUGAACAGAAAUAAUUGAGUCACUUCAAUAAGGCCUAGAGUAGAAAUAGUGUAUUCUGGAGGAAGGAAAAUGCAACCUGUGCCCUUGCAGGUUAAU
rnacentral:lncRNA from 1 species